rnacentral:rRNA from 1 species
UACGUAGGGUGCAAGCGUUGUCCGGAAUUAUUGGGCGUAAAGAGCUUGUAGGCGGCUUGUCGCGUCUGCUGUGAAAUUUCGGGGCUCAACCCCGAACUUGCAGUGGGUACGGGCAGACUAGAGUGUGGUAGGGGAGACUGGAAUUCCUGGUGUAGCGGUGAAAUGCGCAGAUAUCAGGAGGAACACCGAUGGCGAAGGCAGGUCUCUGGGCCAUAACUGACGCUGAGAAGCGAAAGCAUGGGGAGCGAACAGG